AGAAAGAUAAGCUAAGAAAGCUUUUAGGUUCAUACCCUAAAUAUAGAAAAUACAUAUUCUUCUUUCUA
rnacentral:tRNA from 1 species